rnacentral:rRNA from 1 species
AAAUGCACUCCCCGCAAGGUCUCUACACAGGUGGUGCAUGGUUGUCGUCAGCUCGUGUCGUGAGAUGUUGGGUUAAGUCCCGCAACGAGCGCAACCCUCGUCCUAUGUUGCCAGCACGUUAUGGUGGGAACUCAUGGGAUACUGCCGGGGUCGACUCGGAGGAAGGUGGGGAUGACGUCAAAUCAUCAUGCCCCUUAUGUCUUGGGCUUCACGCAUGCUACAAUGGCCAGUACAGAGGGCUGCAAUACCGUAAGGUGGAGCGAAUCCCAAAAAGCUGGUCUCAGUUCGGAUUGAGGUCUGCAACUCGACCUCAUGAAGUCGGAGUCGCUAGUAAUCGUAGAUCAGCAACGCUACGGUGAAUACGUUCCCGGGCCUUGUACACACCGCCCGUCAAGUCACGAAAGUCGGUAACACCCGAAGCCGGUGGCCUAACCGCAAGGAGGGAGCCGUCGAAGGUGGGAUUGGUGAUUGGGACUAAGUCGUAACAAGGUAACCAAUC